rnacentral:lncRNA from 1 species
AUCGGGGCGCUGGCUGAGACCGAGCGGCGGCGGCUCGUUGCGAUCGGGGCAGCACCCGCUUCUCCCGUCCAAUCCGGCGGUGGCUCGGUGACGAGAGGAGGGGCGGCGAGAGCACGGCUCCUCCCUCGCCUCUUCUCCCCUCCAAUCCCGGUGGCAGCGGCGGCGGCGGCUCCGCGACAAGGAAGGGCGGCGGGAGCUUGGUUCCUCCCUCCCCUCUUCUCCCCUUCAAUCCCGGCGGCGGCUCGGCGACAAGUAAGGACGGCGGGAGCUCGGCUCCUCCCUCACCUCUUCUCCUCUUCUCAUCCCCGCUUCUCCUCUCUAAUCCCGGUGGGGUGGUGUGCGGGACAAGGGCGGCGGCUCAGCGGCGACGACGACGACAGCGACAAGGGAGGGGCCUUGGCGACUUUGACGACGACCGCGACGACGGAGGGCCUCGUCGACAACGACGGCGCGCGGUGGACGGCGACGAGCGGAUCCGGCACCACCUCCUCCAUCCACCGCGCCACCUCCAUCUCCGCCCCCAGCCACCUCUUCACCCUUCCCCGCCUCGCUCCCCUAGCCAGUGAAGGACGGUGGCGCGCGGAUCUGCCGCCUCCCGUCGUCGGGAGCGACGGCGGCGCAUGA